ACAACUACCACCAUGUAUCAAAUACUCAACAAGUGCCAAGUACCAUAGUGUGUGUGUGUGUGUGUGUGUGUGUAAAUCUAAUCUUCAUAAAAACUUAGAGGAAAAUCUCAUCUCGAUUUUAUUAAAGAAGAAACAGACAUGAAAA